UUUUUUUUUUUUUUAAAGUAUUCACAUUUCACAUAUUAUGCAAACUCAAUACUCAUUUGGAGGAAGAGGGCCAUAAGCACUAAAAUUAAACCAAUCUUAUGGUACUUCUGGUAUCUUUUAAGUAUGUGGUUUUGCUUCUUCUAUGAACGUGAGUUAAAAACUGAAGUGCAUUUGUGAAUUUCUUUCUUUCUUUUUUUUUUUGUGAGGAAGAUUGGCCCUGAGCUAAUCUUGCCAAUCUUCCUCUAUUUUACGUGUGAUGGUGCCACAGUGUGGCUUGACGAGUGGUGCUAGGUCCACGCCUGGGAUCUGAGCCUGCAAACCCUGGACCACCAAAGCCGAGUGCACGAACUUAACCUCUACGCCACUGGGCCAGCCCAUGAAUUUUUUUGCUUCUACAUUUGCGUGAUUAGACUAACUUUGUGAGCAAAUGGCCACAUGAGCUUCAGCCUGAUAUAUUAAUAUCCAAAAUGUUAACACUCACAGUUCCCAGGUCUUUGAAUACGACACAGGUGCUCUGGUUCCUCUUACCUUCUAUUUAGCUGGAAGACAGGGGGCGGAAGGCGAGUCUUGUUGCCUCUAUUUUAAAGUGAGAGACUAGAUCUGCUAAGAGGUCAUUUCAUUUGAGUCACACAGCGUAAAAGUUGUGGAUUAUAGAGAAUUAUCAAUUUAAUAUUUUACUUUGCUUUCAGCACACUAACUGUAGGAAAAAGAAAACUCAGUCAGUCUUUCAGUCUAUACAGAAUGUUAGGAAUCCUAACAAUACCUAUGGGUCUGUCUAAAUAUAGCAAUAAUAAGCUUGUUCAUCUAGCCAACCAAUUCAAUUAAACAACCUGUUUGACAUUUUUUCUUUUCCCAAGAUGACUGGACAACCGCCAGCACUACUUCAGUUCAUUGUAUCGGCACAGCCUUACCCUCCCUGGAGAAGUAAUUCAGAUUUGUGGUGUUCAAGGAGCAGCUCGGUAGUCAUCUAUAAAGCAUCAGUUUAAAGGCAAAGAUUUGAUAGGAGACAUGCAAUUCCCUCGGAGUCUGACUCCCCAGCUCUCUGCAGGUGUGGAAAGGAGGAUGCGCUCCCCUUUCAUCACUGAUUUGUGGGUAAGGACUGGUGAAUAGCUUUUGUUUUAACUCAUAUAUUUGCAAGAAAUUGUCUUUCCUAUUUCUCUAUAGCAUUGUGAGUACAUAUAAGCAGAGAAGACAACGGUAUAAAAUUCAUUGCUGAAUUUAAUAAUUGCAUAGGAAAGAAGGAUUUGAUCUUUUGCUCAAUAAGAGAGAAUCUGUGAAAUUGAGAUCCUGGUAGAUACUGAGAAGUAGUUCUAAUAGAUAUAAUCACCUUUUGAGGAAAAUAGAAUCAGAAAAAAAUAUCCUGAGGCGAUCUAUCAAUUGCCCAAUAAGAAGUGGAUCAAAGGAAAUAAGUGAAUAUAUUUUUAAAAGUAAAUUUCUACCUAUAUAAUGAAAAUAGUG
rnacentral:lncRNA from 1 species